GAUGAACGCUGGCGGCGUGCCUAAUACAUGCAAGUCGAGCGACCACACAAUGAGCUUGCUCUCUUACCGUUAGCGACUGGCGGAUGAGUAACACGUGCAUACGCUUCCUCUUUUACUUGGAUAAUUACGGAGAACCGGUUCUAAUAACACCUCAUAUAUUCUACCGGAUGGUUCAAUAGUUCAUCACGGUUUUGCUGUCACAUAUAGCCGGCUUCGCGCCGCAUUAGCUAGUUGGUAAGGUAACGGCUUACCAAGGCGACGAUGCGUAGCCGACCUGAGAGGGUGAUCGGCCACACUGGAACUGAGACACGGUCCAGACUCCUACGGGAGGCAGCAGUGGGGAAUCUUCGGCAAUGGGCGAAAGCUUGACGGAGCAACGCCGCGUGAGUGAUGAAGGUCUUCGGAUCGUAAAGCCCUGUUAUUAGGGAAGAACAAAAGUGGAAGUAACUAUGCACGUCCUGACGGUACCUAAUCAGAAAGCCACGGCUAACUACGUG
rnacentral:rRNA from 1 species